CCCUUAAAUAACACUCUGUGAAGCCGUGGUCUUCUUGCGCGGGAUAGGGCACCUGAGGAAGCGGGCUGCGCCUGUGGCACAGUGGUACGGGGCCGGAAGAUAACUUACCUGAAGAGGCGAUCAAUCCCUGAGAAUCGCGGGCGACCCGUUUUUUGUGUGCCCGGGUGCGGGGUGCCGGGACACGGCGUUGAAGGCGCUGAGCGGAGGGAUCUCAGGGCGAGCUCGAGCGGCGACGGCGCGCUCUGUGAUUGCACCGCGAGCGCCUGAGGUGAUCUCGGCCUACAUCGCGUCAGCGGGGCCUUGGGCGUGAGCACCGCCCCCUGUCCGGACGCAGGGUACUGGGGCACCUCGAACUGUGGCACCUCACCCUUCUCCGGGGCCACGUCUUGGGGACUCCGACAGCCCCAAAUAAGCCCUCGGGGACUGGGGUUGUGAAAAGCGAGGUCGUGAAGACGCCGGCCUCAUACCGAAGGGUAGGACGGUGAGGUCAGCCCCGUCCCACUCCAACUAAAAUCAACCUGACAGUCGCGGUGGCUCACGCCUGUAAUCCCUGCACUUUGGGAGGCCGAGGCGGGAGGAUCACCUGAGGUCAAGAGUUCGAGACCAGCCUCACCAACAUGAUGAAACCUCGUCUCUACUAAAAAUACAAAAUAUUAGCCGGACGUGGUGGCAGACGCCUUUAAUCCCAGCUACUCGGGAGGCUGAGGCAGGAGAAUCACUUGAACCUGGGAGGCAAAGGUUGCAGUGAGCCGAGAUUGCGUCACUGUACUCCAGCCUGGGCAACAAGAGCAAAACUCUGUCUC
rnacentral:lncRNA from 1 species